AUAUAUAACACGAACAUCUAAUGUAUAGACUGAGGUAAAUUGAUUAAU
rnacentral:guide_RNA from 1 species